GCUAUUAUGGCUCAGUGGUCAGAACAUGCAGGCUAAAUAGUCCACAUGUUGGACAUUUACUGGAAGGUCCCUGGUUUCAUUCCAGGUAACAGUA